rnacentral:lncRNA from 1 species
UCAGCAAUAUCAAGGAAGAAGUGAUUACACACAGAGUGACCGGUAGCGAUAUCCCACAUCCUGCAAAUUUAACCAACAAUCAAGAACUUAUGCACGAGUGUAUGUAUAUAACCUUAAAAAGAGUUAGAAACUUACUGCUCCGGGCUUUCCCUCAAAAUUUCGGCAAACUUCUUAAACUGUGUUUGAUUCGUUUUGGCAAUGGGCUUAUACUCAACCUUCUCCUCGCUCUUAAACAACUUUUUCACCCUUGGGUCAGGGGUGUACACUCCAGAAAUCUUGCUGGAUCUCAUGCGAUGCCGUUUACCACCACUGCCCACAUCUUCAGAGUCCGCAUUCGUUUCACCACACAGAUCACGUGGGUUCUCUUGUAUCUGGCUAUCACUGGACAUGUCGUCUUUACAACUGUCAUAUCUCUCUUCGUCCUCCG